rnacentral:rRNA from 1 species
UCAAGUAAUGAAGUGCACAUGGUGGAUGCCUUGGCAGUCAGAGGCGAUGAAAGACGUGGUAGCCUGCGAUAAGCCCUGAGGAGCUGGCAAACGAGCUGUGAUCCAGGGAUGUCUGAAUGGGGAAACCCGGCCGAAAGGUCAUCCUGCAAUGAAUGCAUAGUUGCAGGAAGCGAACCCAGGGAACUGAAACAUCUCAGUACCUGGAGGAAAGGACAUCAACCGAGACUCCGCUAGUAGUGGCGAGCGAACGCGGACCAGCCCAAACGAAGCAUGUGCAAGCCUGCCGGCGUUGCAUGCUUCGGGUUGUAGGGCCAUUCAGCCAAACGGCAGUGCGGCAAUGGACACCAUGACGGUAGUCGAACGACCUGGGAAGGUCGGCCAGAGCGGGUGAUAGCCCCGUACGGGUAAUGCGAUGUCGAAGACAUGAGUAAGGCGGGACACGUGAAAUCCUGUCUGAACAUGGGGGGACCACCCUCCAAGCCUAAGUACUCCUCAGCGACCGAUAGUGAACCAGUACCGUGAGGGAAAGGUGAAAAGCACCCCGACGAGGGGAGUGAAACAGUUCCUGAAACCGGAUGCUUACAAACAGUGGGAGCUCAAGGUUCGUCCUGAGUGAUGGCGUACCUCUUGUAUAAUGGGUCAUCGACUUAGUCUGUCUAGCAAGCUUAAGCCGUUAGGUGUAGGCGCAGCGAAAGCGAGUCUGAACAGGGCGACAAGUUGGGGGCGGUAGACGCGAAACCACGUGAACUACGCAUGGCCAGGUUGAAGUGGGCGUAACAGCCCAUGGAGGACCGAACUCACUAGUGUUGAAAAACUAGGGGAUGAGCUGUGUGGAGGAUUGAAAGUAUCAUCAAACGUGGAGAUAGCUCGUUCUCCCCGAAAUGUUUUUAGGAACAGCCUCGGAUAUAGAUGUUUGCUAGAGGUAGAGCUACUGAUUGGGCUAGGGGGCUUCACCGCCUACCAAACCCUGACAAACUCCGAAUGCUAGCAAAUUUCUCCGGGAGUGAGGCUGCGGGUGCUAAGAUCCGUGGCCGAGAGGGAAAUAACCCAGAUUAGCAGCUAAGGUCCCUAAUACAUGGUUAAGUUGAUCAAACGAGGUGGGACUUCUAUAACAGCCAGGAUGUUGGCUUGGAAGCAGCCAUUCAUUUAAAGAGUGCGUAACAGCUCACUGGUCGAGCGACAGAGCAUCGAUAAUAAUCGGGCAUCAAGUGUAGUACCGAAGCUCAGGAUUUGCGCAGCAAUGCGCGAGUGGUAGGGGAGCAUUCUAACAUCGGCGAAGCUGACUGGUAAUGGUUGGUGGAGAGGUUAGAAAAGCAAAUGUAGGCAUAAGUAACGAUAAACAAGGUGAAAAACCUUGUCGCCGAAAGUCUAAGGGUUCCUGAUCAACGUUAAUCGGAUCAGGGUUAGUCCGGUCCUUAGUCAAACCCGAAAGGGGUAGAUGAUGGAAAGCAGUUUAAUAUUACUGCACCUGCUAUACAAUGAAAGUGACGGAGAGCCGUGGUCGCUACGUACUGACGGAUAUGUACGUCUGAGUGGAGUCUUCGGACAAAGCGAAGUGAUAAAAGCUCUUCCAAGAAAAGCGAGUAUAGCAGCCGGUACCGCAAACCGACACAGGUAGACGGGGAGAGAAUCCCUAGGCGCAUGAGUGAUCCCUUGCGAAGGAACUCGGCAAUUUGACACCGUAACUUCGGGAGAAGGUGUGCCUGUUGGGGUGAAAGGACUUGCUCCUCGAGCUGCUGGUGGUCGCAGUGAAAUGGCCCAAGCGACUGUUUACCAAAAACACAGGUCUCUGCCAACCCGUAAGGGGACGUAUAGGGGCUGACACCUGCCCAGUGCCGGAAGGUUAAGGGGAGGGGUUCGCGCCCCGAACCGAAGCCCCGGUAAACGGCGGCCGUAACUAUGACGGUCCUAAGGUAGCGAAGUCCACGAAUGGAGUAACGACUUCCC